rnacentral:lncRNA from 1 species
AUUGUCGGAUUGGAAAUUGAAAUGUGAUUCAAAUCUUGGUCCUUGAUGAGCAGGUCGCUUGCGUCCUACGGAUUGUAGGUACAGAUCUACCACAUGACGAGGGGUACGGCAUUUCGUUGUAAUGUGCUUGUAGCACCCACAUUUUUGACAAACUUUAGAUUUGUCGUAUUGUGAUUUGGAAUUGCCUUUCCCCUUUUCCUGUACACGUGGCUUGUUUUUGUUGUUAUUGCCCUUUUGCUUGCC